GCUCUCUUGAACCUUCUUUAUGUUGCUUUGUGAAGAGAAAGGAAACAUAAUUUUUUUUUUUUUUCAGAACGUAUACAAGGAGAUAGAAAAGUUUGAGAAGUCUAUGACAGGACAUGUCUCUGCAGUACACAGCCAUGUCACUGACAGUUCUUCAAAGUGUGGUUCCAGAUUCACCACCAUGCUAGCAAGAUAAAGAGUACUGUGAAGUUAUAUAACAGUGACUACAC
rnacentral:lncRNA from 12 species